rnacentral:rRNA from 1 species
AUUGAACGCUGGCGGCAGGCCUAACACAUGCAAGUCGAGCGGAUGAAGGGAGCUUGCUCCUGGAUUCAGCGGCGGACGGGUGAGUAAUGCCUAGGAGUCUGCCUGGUAGUGGGGGAUAACGUCCGGAGACGGGCGCUAAUACCGCAUACGUCCUGAGGGAGAAAGUGGGGGAUCUUCGGACCUCACGCUAUCAGAUGAGCCUAGGUCGGAUUAGCUAGUUGGUGGGGUAAAGGCCUACCAAGGCGACGAUCCGUAACUGGUCUGAGAGGAUGAUCAGUCACACUGGAACUGAGACACGGUCCAGACUCCUACGGGAGGCAGCAGUGGGGAAUAUUGGACAAUGGGCGAAAGCCUGAUCCAGCCAUGCCGCGUGUGUGAAGAAGGUCUUCGGAUUGUAAAGCACUUUAAGUUGGGAGGAAGGGCAGUAAGUUAAUACCUUGCUGUUUUGACGUUACCGACAGAAUAAGCACCGGCUAACUUCGUG